GGGGUGUGAGCCAUAAAGGUUACGGCACCAGUCUUCCAAACUGGAUAAGCGGGUUCGAUUCCCGCACACCUCUC
rnacentral:tRNA from 1 species